UUUUCCCAUACACUGCUUGCCUCCUUGCAUUCAAGUAUCAAACCAUCCAUACCCCUCCCCUUCUCUCUUCCAUCGCUUUCCAUUCUCAAUUCCAAAGCUCUCUCUCUCUCUCUCUCUCUCUCUCAACAUGGCAGCUUUUUCAUUCCAACACCAGCCUUCUCUCCUUGACCCAACUUUCCUGCCAGACUCCUCCGCAUUUUCCCAGGAACCAAACACCACACCCACCACCAACUGUUUUUCUCAAUUUUACCGACUUGAAUCUCCUCAGCAGAUCCCUGUUGAUGUUUGUUUUCAUGAAAGUAGUUGCCUUGAAAAUGGAACAAAAGUUGGAAUUCGUCAUAACAAUGAGCCUUCUGUGACCAAUAAACACAGUACAGAUUCUUCAUCAAUGGUUGAUAAGUCUGAAAGUGGUGAGCAAGCCACUCAGAAGGUGAUUGUCAUAGCCAAGAAAAGGAAAAGCAUGGAUGGGUCUUCCAUCACUUCUCUUCAAUCUAUGGAAGCAAGAGAAGUGAAAAGCAAUAAGGAAAAGAGAAGCAAUGGCACGAUUACAACAAUGACAGAUGAGAAAGUAAUAAUAAAGAAGCCAAAAGCUGAUAAGCAGAAGGAUCAAAAGAAAGUUCGUCCUGAAGAAGUUCCCAAUGGCUAUAAUCAUGUAAGAGCAAAGAGGGGUCAAGCUACAGACAGCCACAGCCUUGCAGAGAGGGUGAGGAGAGAGAAAAUAAGUGAGAGGAUGAAACAGUUGCAAGCUUUAGUUCCAGGAUGUGACAAGGUAACAGGGAAUGCCCUUGUGUUGGAUGAAAUAAUCAACUAUGUCCAAUCCUUACAAUAUCAAGUAGAGUUCCUUUCUUCGAAGCUUGCUUCAGUGAAUCCCAUGUUCUGUGACUUUGGAACGGAGUUGGAUGCAUUCAUGGUUCCACAUGAGACAUGGAUGAGUAGUCAAGAGGAAUCUCCAUUGCCAAAUGUGCCACAAUGCAACUCCCCUCAGUUCGCUAUACCAAAUAGUUAUCCUCUUUUGGACAGUUCAUCUUCUUCACUACUAUUUGAUCAUCAACAAGUGCAAAUGCCAGAUAUCCUCCCUCAGGAUAAUGGGCAGCUCUUGUGGGAAGUGGAUGACCAAAAACAAAAACUUAUAGAUCAAUCUGGAAGCUUUACCAACAAUUUGUGUUAUUUCCAUUAAUCUAAUGGUACUAUUUAAGCUAUAGGGUUCCCUACAAGCAUUUGGUAAGCCCUCCAAUCACUGUCUCAUAUAUAUGUGUUUGUCUAACCAUAAAAAAAGUACUUAAUUACUCAUAAAACAACUAUUAAAGCUAUCAUGUUGCUUUUACUAGAAACUUCAAGUAGAGAUAGCCCUACUGAAAUUCUUUUCUUGUGAAAGUUUAGGGCAUCAACCAAAUGGGCUGUGGAGAUGACAUUUGUCAUUUAUGUAGAAAGGUUUGUAAGGAAAUUCCACAGAAGGAAAAGCACAGGAAAGUAUCAAAUACCAAUGGAGAGGGAAAAUAUCACACCUCAAAGUUUCUGAUUCUAACUCUGUAGCCCAGUAUAUGAAUGGAGUCUGUGGACAUGAAUAAAAGGGGAUGAACCAAAAUCAAUGGUUGAAGAACACAAAAGGACAAAUAUUAUAUAAAAUAACCAACCAAUAACAUGAGGUCUUUUGUAGAUCCCUAGUUCUUGUCCAAUUUGACUCCACCACAAGUUUCUCAGGCACAAAUUCCUACAGCUAGUUUUGUGGUGUCAGAAGUAGAAAGAACCCAAAGUAACGUAAAAAAAAAGUACCAUUUGCCAUAUAUUUAAGGUAAAUUGCAUUUGUAGUC